rnacentral:rRNA from 1 species
CAGCCGCCACGGUAAUACGAACCGUGCGAACGUUAUUCGGAAUUACUGGGCUUAAAGCGCGUGUAGGCGGGCCGCCACGUCGGUUGCUGAAAUCCCCCGGCUCAACCGGGGAAGUGGCAUCGAUACGAGCGGCCUUGAGGGGGGUAGGGGGAUCUGGAACUUCCGGUGGAGCGGUGAAAUGCGUUGAGAUCGGAAGGGACGCCCGUGGCGAAAGCGAGGUCCUGGACCCUUUCUGACGCUGAGACGCGAAAGCCAGGGGAGCGAACGGGAUUAGAUACCCCCGUAGUCCCUGUCUCUUAUU